GUGAACCUGCGGAAGGAUCAUUAUUG
rnacentral:ncRNA from 2 species